UAGGUAUGUUUGUUUGUUUGUUUGUUUGUUUGUUUUUUUGGGGGGGGGGUUAAAAAAAAAGUAUGAGUAGCUUUCAAAAAAAGUAUCUUCCACUUUUAUAACAGAGAGAAUUUAUUUGUGUAAAAGUAUUGUUACAUGUAUGCCUUGUUGUCUGUUCUCUCCAUUGUGACCUAGUUUUCCUGAGUUGCCUGAUUAUGUCAUUCUGUUCACCUGUUGUCUGUUAAUCAUCUCAUUAGUUCCCUUUGUUUGGUUCAUGCUUAUAAGUCCUCAGUUCCCACUUAGUCUUCGUCCGUUCUCCGUCUAUGUUAAGUUUGUUUCUGUGUCUGUUUUCCUGGAUUUAUCUGAUUAAAAGACUUUUCAUUUAUCUCCUUCAUCCUCGUGCAGUUUGUAUCACCAACGUGUGACAGAAGACUGGACAAUCUACAGUUUUUUGUUGUUGUUUUUUUUUCUGGUGUUUUGUUCCCUUUUUCCAUGUUCUUCUGUCACUAUGGACAUUCCUCCUUUGGCCCUGCUAUGCCUGGAGCAGGGUGACCGUCCGCUGGAAGACCACACACAGGACUUUUUAAAUCUCGUGUGCCUGACUCAUUACCCUGAUCGUUCGCUCUGUUUUUUAUCACGCCAGCCUGAGUGAGCGAUCAAAAGCACACGUUCCAGCGGAUGGUCCCAGGGACAAUUUCGCCACGUUUGUAGAGUGAGUUCUGGAGAAUAAUGGACUGUAUUUCUCCAUCUGCCCCACUGAUGAGGACAUCUCCAGUCCCACUCCCAAACAGAAGACCAGCCAGGCAUCAUCCUGAUGCACGGAGGUAUUGCCUGAGCCCACAGCAGACAGAGAGCCUGAGCCUGCCGCGACAUGUGAGCCAGCACAGAAACCCGUGACUGAGCAGAUCAUCACCCCGGAGGGAAUGCUUGAGGGAAUGCUCGAGGAGAUCAAGGGCUUGGAGGGAAGCCCCACCCACAUUCCCGCUGCUGAGGCCUCUCUCUCCCGCCUCUUCUCCUAAAACCAGCCAGUUCCUCAGUCAUAUCUCUGCUGGUGCCUGUCAGUCCCUCAGCUCCCCCUCAGUCAGUGCCAUCUGGGCGCUCUGAUCCGCCUCGGGACAUCCAGUCUCCAGCCCCGCCUAGACUCCACCCUGGUCCUUCGACCCAUUCGGCUCCACCUUGGCUCCUAGCUCCCUUGUCUCCACCAUUGCCCAUCAUCCCACUGGCUCCACCGGGCUCCCUGGUCCCUCCGACUCCACCAUGCUCAGUUGUCGACCAUCCGCAGCCUUAGGACUUCACUCCUCCGGCUUCGCCUUGUCACUCUGUCCCUCUGGAUCUGUCUGGCUCCUCCGGCUCCACCUUCAUCCUCAGUCACUCCAUCUCCACCGCGGUCUUCCAGAUCCCCGCCUCCACCUUGGUCGCCUUAGCCAUCAGCUCCACCUUGACCCUCCGGAUCCUCUGUGUCACCCUGUCUCUCUGUCUGCUCGGCUCCAUCUGGGUCUCCACCUCCGGUGGUUCCAUCUCCACCGUUCUUCCCCAGGGUAACAUCAAGGCCUUCUCCACCAUGGCUCCUCCCUCCUUUGACUCCACCCUGGGGCUUCGUCCUGGCUGGUCUCUGGACCAACAUCUGGCUCCUCUCAAGGCUCCAUGCCUUGUUUUCUGUUCUCUCCGUCAUGACCUAGUUUUCCUGAGUUGCCUGAUUAUGUAAUUCUGUUCACCUGUUAAUCAUCUCAUUAGUUCCCUUUGUUUUGUUCAUGCCUUAGUCUUCAUCCAUUCUCCAUCUAUGUUAAGUUGGUUUCUGUGCCUGUUCUCCUGGAUUUAUCUGAUUAAAAGACUUUACGUUUGUCUCCUUCA